CUUCAGGUCUCUGAGCUUGACCAGUGUUUCAGCUCUCCCUUGGAGUCCCGGGAAACGUAUCUCUUGGGAUCAGGAGCUGGGAUGGAACCCAGGGCUCCUGAGAUGGGACAAAGCUAUGCUCUGUGCACCUGUCUUGCCUCCUCACUUUGUACAAUGAGUGUGCCUUCAGCCAAAAGCAGAACUGGAAACAUCCUAAGUGGGCCGGUAACGAGGCUAGCUCUGUCGACUAGUUCAAGACCCCUGAGCGCUUUGGGCCUGAGGUUCCUCAGCUUCCAAGUGAAAGGCUUCGACUUGGCAUUCUAAGAGACAAUCUCUGUGACCAUCAGUUUCCUCAUCUGUAAAACUGGCAUCAUGAUAACUUUGAAGGUAAUUGUGAAGAUUAAAGGGAGUCAUGCAUGUAAACCA
rnacentral:lncRNA from 1 species